rnacentral:lncRNA from 1 species
CAUAUGUCUCCUGUGAUAGUGCUGUUGUUAAUUUGCCUUUUUUCAAAUCAUUUUGAUGUUCUUUCUACCUCGUUGCUAAUGUUCUUUUUGUGAUAUCUAUAUAAGAAGCAUUUUUCCUAUCUGCUAGAUAUUCUAUGGGUAUUUUGUAUACACCCAGAUUCUCUGAGUGCGUGUGGUGGUCUUUGUCAUUUCUAAGGGUGUUGAAAAUCGUUGAUGCUCUUUUGAUGGCCAUUCUCUUCUUAGCCUUCCGUGCUAUGUCUUUAACCAUGGCUAACUUGCUGGUGCCGUAUGGGACUGGGUAAAAAUAAUCAUUUGGUUUUUUCUUGCUUCAAUUGUAUUGUGUCUAAGUAUAGUUCUUUGUAUAUUAUGAUGGAUCUUAUUUAUGUUUGUAUCUGAAUACCUAUAUGCAUGGCCUAUGUAAUAAAUGUAGUGGAAUUCUCUUCUUAAUUCUUGCGGGUUCAUAAUAUAUGCAUAAGCACGCCUGAAGUAGUAGUAGUAGUUGAAUGCUGAGGCUUUGAGUGAUGGGGGAUCGUUGGACCAUGCUGGUAUGAGUAUUGCUUGGUACAUUGAUUUUCUAUAUACAGUGGUUGUCAGUUGCCCAUUUUUCACUAAGAUGUCUAUAUUGAGGAAAUGUACUCGCCCUGUGCUUGGCUGUUCUUGCCUUAAUGUUACUCCAUAUUGCUGCUGUGUUAGGGUUUCUUGGAAAUCAAUUAAAUUACUACUAGAGUCCUACACUGUCAGAAUAUCAUUGAUGUAUCUGACAUAGAGUUUCAGGUGUGAUUCGAAUCUUGGUAGAGUUCUGCUCUCAAUGUCCCUUAGUACUAUCUCUGCUAGGGGGCUCCCCAUGGGGACUCCACAAGUUUGUCGAGAGAAGACGCUUCAGUACUUAAAAUAGGAUUCUUGACAUAAUAAAUGAGCCAACUAUCUCAGAAGACGUGCUAUCUCUUGCCCGUUAGGGGUGUUUUGCAAGAGAAAUCUGUAAAAAUUCAAUCAAGUAGGCUCUAACCUUAGGGAAGGGUAUAAGGAAUCAAAGCCAUAUAUGGCAAGUGUGAGGUAGCUUGACCAGUUAUGUGCUUUGAGUCUAUUCAGGGCUUUGUUCGAUAUUGUGAUCGAAUUGGUGUUCUGCCCUAGUAUAGCCGUGCACCACUUAGCAAGUUUCUUCUGAAGAUUAUAGGUUGGGGCUCCUCUUUUUUCCACAAUGGGCCUCAACUUGGGUGGCUGCUUAUUUGUCUUGACAUAAACAAAAAGGCAGGGAACUGCCACUGCUGCUACUUCCUUGUGCUUCCAUAUUGCUGGAAAAAUGGGAGCUGUCACUAAUUUAUGAGUGAUAGCCUUCAGGUGAUUGAUAGGGUUCUGCUGUAGCACAGAGUUUCUGGCUGUGUUUCUUCAAUGUAGCUUUGGAGGUUGUUGUCAUAACUCGAUCUUUUAAGUAACACCAUUCUUUUGGUCUUAUCUUCCCUGGUUAUUACAGUGUUAUUCUCAUUCAUCCAUGCCCUUGUUUUGUUUAUUAGAGAUUUGUAUUUGCUGUUUGUGCUCUGUGCUGUAUUUUGUUGCUUACUCAUUUUUUUGCAGGCAUAUCCCCAUCUCAUUCUUUGCUUACCUAGCUUGUUGGUGGUGGUUGCAUUUAUCAUUUCUUUCACAAUGGGUAUUUCAUCAUUGGUAUUUAAUUCCUUGUAUAUAGCAUAUAAUGGCCCUCUUCCAAAUAACUCUCCGGCAAACGUUGGCAGACUAAUAUCAUCUUUAUCAUUAUCAUUAUUAUUAGCUUUUCCCAUAAUUUUUAAAUUCUCACUGUACUGUAAAAGGAUGGUGAUGGUAACGAUAAUAGCAAACAUUCUGUAACAUCCUUGUUGAAUAUUAUAAUAAUCUCUUUGAUAUGCAGAAUAUGAUAAAUAUUAUAUUAUUUAAAAAUUCAUACAUCUAAAACUUUAAAAAUAAGUUUUAGUUGAUGUACUGCAAUAAUAAAC